CCAAAUCACGGUGCGGGCAGGGGGCACGGCGCGAGCAUCCUCCUCCAGCCGGGAUGCGCCGGGCGCUGCUCUCGGGCUCCUCUUUCCCCGCUACCGCCCGCGACUUCAAGGAAGAGACGCUAAUGAAAAGCAGCUGCUCGGAAUACCAGAAAGAUGAUGAAUGCGCGUUAAGUCCCCUUAACAAAACCAGACAGAUAUGCCUCUGUACGGCAGCCCGCGCGGGCAUCGCGAGCUCAUCGCAGGAACGCGGCCCGGGGAAAGAGCCGAAACAAGCCCAGGAGCCGCAGCGGAGGAAGAGGAGGAUGCACGGGGGCGAUUUGGAGGCUCUGGAUGCGGCGAGGCCAUUUCGCAGCCAGAGGUUGAGCGGUUUCACCCGUUUCUGCUCUACAAGAUGCUCAAGAGGAUGGGAUGGAUCCGGCACAGAGGCAUUGGGGUUCAUGGCCGCGCACAAGGCCCAAGCUUUUCCUUUCCAUCCCCUCCUUGGGCACCUUCAUGGUCACUGUUUGGGGUGAUUACGGUCCCCACGCCCUCCGGGAGCUUCAGGUUUCGCUCUCUCAACGCCUGUAUCCCACUGAUCCCCCAUUCCCAUUGCUCCGGCACAGCCACGGAGAAAAUUGGGCUAAAACACCCCAAAGAGCACCACUGCCGCCAGACCCGCUGAAUUCCUCUGCCGGCUUAGAGCAGCCUGGCAACGCUGCGCCAAAAAACGCCACCCUCAGCCACCGGGCGCUUUUGGGAAGCUGCCAGAAAACGAUACCGGGGGCAGCAACGCCCCCCGUGAUACCAGAGCAAAUCAACCUGAAUAAACACCGAGAGCAAACCGGUGCUUCGCUGCCUGCCCGCUUUGCGUG